rnacentral:rRNA from 1 species
CCUACGGGGAGCAGCAGUGAGGAAUAUUGGUCAAUGGACGAGAGUCUGAACCAGCCAAGUAGCGUGAAGGAUGACUGCCCUAUGGGUUGUAAACUUCUUUUAUAUGGGAAUAAAAUGUUCCACGUGUGGGAUUUUGUAUGUACCAUAUGAAUAAGGAUCGGCUAACUCCGUGCCAGCAGCCGCGGUAAUACGGAGGAUCUGAGCGUUAUCCGGAUUUAUUGGGUUUAAAGGGAGCGUAGGUGGAUUGUUAAGUCAGUUGUGAAAGUUUGCGGCUCAACCGUAAAAUUGCAGUUGAAACUGGCAGUCUUGAGUACAGUAGAGGUGGGCGGAAUUCGUGGUGUAGCGGUGAAAUGCUUAGAUAUCACGAAGAACUCCGAUUGCGAAGGCAGUUCACUGGACUGCAACUGACACUGAGGCUCGAAAGUGUGGGUAUCAAACAGGAUUAGAUACCCGUGUAGUC